rnacentral:lncRNA from 1 species
GUUCAUGGCAGCCUUACUUAGAGGCACAAUAGAUAGUUGGGUUUUCCAAAUUUAUGAGUUCAGACAUAGUCAUGAAGAGGGAACAAAUACUCUACAGUGGGCCCUGCUGCCAGAUGACUUCGCCCAGCUGUCAGCUAAUGUAAGUGUUCCGGGCAUGUUUAGAUAUGUUAGGUGUAUGAAAUUCAUUUUUACUUAAAGCCUUUUCAACUUAAAAAUGGGCUUACCCGGACGUAAUCCCAUCAUAAGUCAAGGAGCAUCUGUACUUGGAAGAAUAUAAAACUUCUCCAUCACACUACGGAGUCCUGCCACUUCUCUCUUUUCCUGUUGUAUUUGGUUACCAUCUUCCCUGGUGACAAGGAAGAUACUGCCACCAGCAAUUACUCAGUGAGGCAAAGAUAUUAAAGAGGAAAUUUCCAUUAGGUAAAUAACUGUGAAAGA